GCAACACAGCCAACAAGCAGGCAGUGGAGGCGCAACUAAGGAUCCAGCAUGGGCAGCAGCUGGUCCAGCACUAGAGGUGGAGGCGGGCAUGAUGGUGCCAAUGACGGAGAUUUGUGUGGAACGGAGGUGGGCAUCAAGGUUGUCGGAUGCGUUGUAUCCAGCAGACACGCAAGUGAUGGGGCUAGUCAUUGUUGCACAUUAGAGUUUGCACGCAUAUAUUUAAUGUAGAUAUCAUAUAACAGGUUUGAUGUAGUGUUGCAUGAGCGUAUGAACUUGUCAACGAUCGAGGAGCAGGUGGCCUCAGGUGCGGCUAGAUGGAUCCCGGAGGACGACGCAGUAUUGGGUGGUGUGCAGUGUGCUUUAUUGGGUGUGAGGCUUCCAAACGGUUCCUGGAAAGAUGCUAAACUUUCCUGUGAAAGGGCUUCAUAUGCCUGAAAGGGCUUCACUUGCCCGUAAGGACUUCAUUCCCCGUGAGUGUGCGGCAAAGCCGAAGGGAGGACGCAAGGGGGGCAAGGUGGAGGAGGAGGAGGUGUACGAUGGGGGUGAAAGUGGCACAAGUAGGGAGGAAAGUGGCAGCGACUGAGCUACCGAGCGAGGUGAAUGGCGUGGCAUGGAUUGGGUACGGCUGGCUACCGGACAUUGGUGCACUACCUUACCGGACAAUGCUUGAAACCUACCGGACAAUGCUUGAAACCUACCGGACAACUGUGCACUACCCUACCGGGCAUUGGUGCACUACCUUACCGGACAUUGCUUGAAACCUACCAGACAAUGCCUGAAAGCUACCGGACAAUGCUUGAAAUCUACCGGACAAUCAUGCACCACCCUACCGGACAUUGGUGCGCGACCUUACCGGACAAUGCCUGAAAGCUACCGGACUCUACUUUACCGGACAAAUUGUCCCGUUAUUAAAUCGCAUUGUCCGGUAACCGAUUAGCCUGAAUGUCCGGUAACAGAUGACCGUAUUGUCCGGUAAGAUUAGGGGUGGGUUUUCCCAGAGUGUAGUGUGCGUGUGCGUGUGCGUGUGCGUGUGCGUG
rnacentral:lncRNA from 1 species